UACGAAGGGGGCUAGCGUUGCUCGGAAUCACUGGGCGUAAAGCGCACGUAGGCGGAUUGCUAAGUCAGGGGUGAAAUCCUGGAGCUCAACUCCAGAACUGCCUUUGAUACUGGCGACCUUGAGUCCGGGAGAGGUGAGUGGAACUGCGAGUGUAGAGGUGAAAUUCGUAGAUAUUCGGAAGAACACCAGUGGCGAGGGCGGCUCACUGGACUGGUAUUGACGCUGAGGUGCGAAAGCGUGGGGAGCAAACAGG
rnacentral:rRNA from 1 species